rnacentral:rRNA from 1 species
UGGGGAAUUUUGGACGAAUUGGGCGAAAGCCUGAUCCAGCAAUGCCGCGUGUGUGAAGAAGGCCUUCGGGUUGUAAAGCACUUUUGUCCGGAAAGAAAUCCUUGGCUCUAAUACAGUCGGGGGAUGACGGUACCGGAAGAAUAAGCACCGGCUAACUACGUGCCAGCAGCCGCGGUAAUACGUAGGGUGCAAGCGUUAAUCGGAAUUACUGGGCGUAAAGCGUGCGCAGGCGGUUUGCUAAGACCGAUGUGAAAUCCCCGGGCUCAACCUGGGAACUGCAUUGGUGACUGGCAGGCUAGAGUAUGGCAGAGGGGGGUUAGAAUUCCACGUGUAGCAGUGAAAUGCGUAGAGAUGUGGAGGAAUA